GACGAACGCUGGCGGCGUGCUUAACACAUGCAAGUCGAACGGAAAGGCCUCUUUCGGGGGGUACUCGUGUGGCGAACGGGUGAGUAACACGUGAGUAACCUGCCUUUGUCUUUGGGAUAACUUAAGGAAACUGGGGCUAAUACCGGCCAGGAGAUCCUGUUGCACGGAUGGUGUUGGAAAGUUUCGCCGGUUGGCGAUGGACUAUCGGCUUAUCAGCUCGUCGAUGGGAUAGUGGCAUACCAAGGCGUUGCCGGGUAGCCGGCCUGAGAGGGUGACCGGCGACAUUGAGACUGAGAGACGGCCCAGACUCCUACGGGAGGCAGCAGUGGGGAAUAUUGCACAAGGGGUGGAAGCCGGAUGCUGCAGCGCCUUGUGCGGUAUGACUCUCUUCGGGUUGUAAACCACAUUCGCUCAUAACUGAGCUUAGUGUGACGGUAGUGGGUAAGGAAGCACCGGCUAACUACGUG
rnacentral:rRNA from 1 species